GCGCUCACGCCGCACCGGGGCCUCGACGCCGCUCCCGGCUGCAGGACCUCAUUCCUACCAAGCCCACAUGUUUUGCCGGCAGCCGACUGGUCGCGGUGCUUCGUGUUUGGGGUGAUGGGCUGCAAACCGGCGGGAGCCCCCGGCACCGCGGGGCUGAAGGCAGCGGCCGGUGAGCCGCGGGGCAGCUGCAAAGCAGCAGCGAGCACGAAGCAGCUGCGCGCUGCAGCCAGCGCUGCUCCCUGGGGCCGAGCCGCCGGCAAGCGGCCUUUCCUGCAGCUGUGCAUGCGGCAGCUCUGGGAACGGCCGCGCCGAGCCCCUGGGGGCUGCAUCGCGAAGCCAUGGGGUCCGGGGGGUGCGACUUCCCCGGCAGCCUGCCGCAAGCCGAAGCGCGACAGCAAGCCCCGGCUGGCUCCAGCAGCAGGCCAUGCUCCGGCUGCCACGGACAUUCAAAGCCGCCCAGCUUCCCGCCUCGGCCGCGCUCUUCCCGAGGUCGGUGAAAAGCCGGAGAGGAUGAAAAAUGGAAAAUCAGCACUGGAGCCUCGGCUGGGUGCUGCUCCCCUGGUCCCUCUUUGACGGAGUCACACAGGACAGCAAGAGCACACAGGGAUCCCCGGACAGGGAGCGUCUUUGCCGAGCUGUGGACAAACAGCUGUCGUCAAAAAAUGACUCAGACGGGAGAUGCCGGGGCUCAGCCUAACGCCAAAUUUAGACUGGUCUACAAACUCCUGUCGGCUCGAGCUAAAGCCAGGCCGGGGUGCUUAAACGCCAGCACCCACAGCGAGCCCCAGGCCACGGCAAUCGCAGGCUGCGGCAGCCGCGGAGCAGGUCACGGCUCCCGUGGGAGGGAGGCACUUCCCCGCGCCGGCAGCUCCCGCGGCCCUGCUUCGACUUUUGCACGUGUGAGUAUUUGCCAUGUGGAGACAGAGACUGAAAACGCAGCGAAAUUUGGGGACAGAGCCUUGGGAGUGGGCAUAGCGCCGCACAGCCCCUGCAAUGGGUUUCUGGCUCCAGCCUGCCUUAAUUAAUAUUUUUAAUCACAAAAUGAAUGGGCGACAAGUUCUGCUUACGGGGCACGUCAGACCGAGGAAUGCACCAGUGCAGGUACUGCUGUUGGAUUUAUGGAGGAGCUACAGGUGAGGGGACGCAGCCGCGAUCACGAGCCGCUGCUGGCCGUGCGGCUUCUCCCCGCUUCCCGGGAGGAGGCUGCAGGCAGGGGGGGAAUCGGCUCUGGAAAAGCCGUGGGACGGACGCGGGUGGCGGCGAGAAGCCGUCCCCAGGGCCGCUGCAGGAGUGGUGCCGGGGAAGACGCUGCCCGCAAGCCACGUCCACCCGCAGCAGAUGCAAACGGGGCCCCGUGUGCCACUGUCCCGCGGGCACGACCCCGGCACCGCAGGGGAACGCACAGGCAUUGCUGCAGGGACAUGCACGACCCCGACGCUGCAAGGGAACGCAUGCACAGUGCUGCAGGGGAAUGCACAAGCCUGGCACUGGGGAGCUAGGCACCGCUUUCGCCUCCCGCUCCCUCUCCCCGCUCCUUCGGCAGCGCUUCGGCUGCUCUCUCGCCUGCCCACGCGUGCGAUGCUCCCGCGAGGUGCCGAGGCCCAGCUGGCUCCCCAUUUGCACUACAUAAAUAAGGUUUAAUGCACUAAAGAGACCAAUACAGAGCAUUAAUAUUUAAUUCGCUCUAAGCAGCUCAUCUCUCGGUUAAGCACGCGGCAGCCGAGCCCGAGGUCCCCGAGCAGCGGAAAGCGGCAGUUUACCACCAGCUGCUGCUGCCGACCUUUGAGUGCUCAAACAAGGCCCAGGGAAAACGAAAAGAUACUAUGGAAUAGCAGGGCGUUCGAUAAGAUCCAGCCAAGCCCCGCUAGUGCUUGGAUAAUGCAGGAAUUUUGGAAGAAAGCCUCCUAAGGAUCGAGUUAACGGGGGAGGCUGAGCCCCCCACUGCGGGAGGGGGCUUCGCAGCAGCAAAGCCUUUGAGAUGCUCCCUGCGGGCGAAGGGCUGCGAAGGCCCCGCGGUGCCGCUGGCUGACGCGGCACGUUGCAGGGCACCGGGCAGACGUGGGUUCGAGCCCCGGCGCCGGAGGCAGCGGGGAGGCCGGGGAGCCCCGUGGUGCAGCUCAGGCACCGGGGGGGCUGCAGGGGCUUGGAAACCCUCCGCCCGCCCGGCUGCGGAGAUGCUUGAAGGGAUGCAACAGCCCCCGCUCCUGCAGUGCCUGCAAACUGGAGAGGGCUGGGGAGAAUGGGAAACGCUGUGUUAAUUCAGAGGAAAGAAAAGCACUUGCUUUCCUGCACCCUCCCCCUUGCACUAGCCCCCGGCUUGCGCCGUGGGAGCAGGGGGUCACAGCAGCCCCAUCGUGCUGCAGUACCAUGUGGCUUCUGCUUUGCAGGUCUCUCCAAACACGUCUGCAUUUUGGGACACGUUUUUCUACCGGAGUGAGCAGCCAGCCCUCCCGAAAAGCCCCGCUGGGACCCGCAGCAGCCCCGAUCUCACAGCCGCCCCACGGCACAGCGCGUGCUCCGCAGCCGCCCCACGGGGCUCCCGCUCCCCCGUGGGAGCUGCGGCUCCCCAGAGCUCCCCGCAAGGGCCACUUUUCUCCCGCUCCCGGAUCUGGCCCUCCCAGUGCUGCGGACAGGCCCUCAACGCGUUUCCAGUUUCCUAUUUGCAAAGAUCUCCAGAGGUACGUCACCUUCCCAUGCAGCCCGGCGUGUGCCGCGAUACGCUGAGCAUGCAACAGUGCUGUUAAUUAAAAUCCAAAUUCCCAGCGACGUGGAGGGAGCCGCUGACUCCCGAUGUCACUGCCCGGGGGCCAGGGGAUGCGGGACGGCCGCGCAAGCACGGUGCUGCUGCCCGGGCACUGCUGGGGACAGUGAGGCCACCGCGCACCCGGGCACCGGUGCCCGAGGAAGCCCCGCGCGCACAACGAGCCCGUUUCCGAGCAUCCUCAAAGCCUCUUUUCACACCCCAAAUGCUUUUGCCGAGAUUUACUUACAAACAGGCAUCUGCUUUUGCGUUGGCAGCUCCGGCGGCCGCGGGACUUGGGUCGUGGGAGGAAGCGCCGUGGCCGUGCGCCAGCUCCCAGCCCCGGUGGGGCCCGAGCGCCCGGCGCGGGGCAGAGUCGGCCCGUUUGCACAGCGGUCCACGCGGUCCGCGGCCGGGGAACCUGCCCGCCUCCACUUUGUGCUUCCCGGGGGGAUGCAGAAAGGAGGCAGCCAGUCACACCUCGACAGGGUGACAGAAAGCCACUAAAGCAUGAUGAAUCCACGCAGAAGGGAGGGCCUUAGGGCAGUGCCAGCGUUUAAGCGCAGCAAGGCAGUCAGGCCAAGCUUACAGACAGGGAGAAGCCUCUAGGAUGGCGUUUGCGCCGGCGGAGCAGGACCGGGAGCAGAGCGGCGGAGGGCACCGGAGGGAGCAACGUCUCCUCUCACCGCAGCCCUCCGGAGGCUGGACGAGGGCUAUUCAGCAGGUUGCUUGGAGAUACAAAUUCAACAAGAUGAGCUAUUAAAAUAUUUACUGUCCUAAAGAUUCAAGAUUGUGAGCGCCAGGAUGCUUUUCGCAUUUGCACUUCACCAUAGCAAAACUCAACCUUGUUUAAAUACACUAAAAUGCUGAGCACUUGGCAUUUAAAUAGCGCCUUCCAUUUUUGGAAGAAGAUUAGUAAAUUAUAGAAGCAGCUCUUUAGCAUUCAGGAAGCGUAGGGCGUACAUGGGAGUUAUCAAUCAUCCUAGGCAGAUGGUAAAUGUAUCUCCUUUCACCACAAACUGAGCAGCAAACAUUCAAAUUCAUCACCAAGACAACAUAUUUAAAUCCACUUCUAUUUUCAAUUCAUACAUUUUUAACAAACUGCUAAGUAAUGAAAAUCAAUAUUUUCAUCCAAAGAGAAAGCCCUGGAAGCUCUGCCCAGCGGUGGGAUGUCUCCUGCACACCUCAGCCGCACCAAGGGACUCGAGGCACCGCGCAGUGACAUGCUCUGUGCGGGUCACGUCUACAGCUGAGGAGGCACCACCUUUCCACGGACCAGGAAAGGAUCUCCAAUUUAACUGCACUUACCUGCCAAGGUGGGAAGCAUCACUCCAGCCCCGGAAUGGGCACACCGAGGUGGCCUCCCCCCAUUUUUGUUGAAUUUGGAUAGAGAGCAGGACCUGCGCGUUCUCAGCUGAAAACAGGAGUGAAGCGACUAACGCCCUUCCUGCAGAGAUCCCUACGGUCUCAACCGACCAUCUCCUGUGGCAGGAUAUUUGUCUAGUGACUAGCUAAGAUCAUUACAAAAACUGUAUAGACCCAAAAUUAGAUAGAUUUUGCAGAAAUGACUCACAUUGGCAACACACUGCAUGAACUCUACUGGAGAAGACAGAGAAUAUACAUCCAUGAAAAGGCAGACAUAAGAUACCCCAAAUCACCAAACUCAUAACACUUAUAGAAAUACCAUUUUUUCAUCUUAUUUUGCAGCAACAACCUUCUAGAAUUCUCUAAAAGGAGGUAUCUCAAAAACCAUUAAGAGUCGUCCCAGCCAGCUUGUACUUAUCUGCAGCCACAUGUAGGCGAGAUGCUAUCAACCAGUGUAAUGAAAACACCCCACACCGGUCUUAAGAUAAAAAAAAUUUAUUUUACAAUUUUAUAAAGCAGCUUUACAUUAAGCACAAAUGUUGAUCCAUUUACUUUGUAUAUAAACAUAGUAGAACCUUUCCCUCUGCAAAAAGUCAUGUCUUGCUGUAUAUAAAACUAACGUGCACAUUGUGCUUAAACUGCAAAGUCUGUACAGCUUUACAAAGGACUACCCUUCACAAGGGCAUCCUGUAAACAAUUUAUUGCAUAUUUAACACAUGGUGUAUAUCCCACAUGUAAAAAUGUAGAAAAAAUAAAGUACAAUUACACGGUGAAUGAAAA